UAUCAUAAGAAGUAAAAGAUAUAUAUUCCACCCAGAGGCACGUGUCCCAAUUGCCUCAACUGACAAAAAUCUGGGGCAAAAAAUAAUAAAUGAAACCAGAGGAGAGGCAUUAUUUUUCAGAAUGCCUCAUCAUCUGAGAGAAGAACCUUGUCUUCUUCAAGGUAUCAUCACAAACAGGCUACUUUAAAGCAAGAUAUAAAUUUCCAUUUUCACCCACAGGAUACAGCAGCUCCUAUACCUGAUUCCUGUUCCUGCCAAGAAGUGUUUAUCCUCACUUAAUCGUCUCCAAUAAUGUUUAACAAAUGGUCUGGGCUGGACCACCCAGCUGCUGGAAUGGUAAGGAUGUUCCAAGACUAUCUCAACACACUACAAUUCUCAAUAAAAUUCAUAUAAAUUACAGAAACAUGCCUUCCAUCACACCUGUUUACAACCCUUUCUUGGCUUCAGUCCCUUCUUUUCACCCGAAUAACAGAGGUGUUAUCAAGCAAACAACUUUCUUCUAAUUUUUUGAAAACUCCCAACAUCUCUGGCCUUCAUACCAGUGGGACUUCUUUUAGAGGCCUACCAGAAUAAGGGUAAGGUAUAAAAUGCUUAAAUCAAGGACAAAAGAGAUUGCGGAGGAGAGAGUCUUCAUUAGCAGACAAAAUAUUUCAACAGUUUUGAAAGGCAGAAAAGCAGAUGGAAGAUGGAAAUGAUGUUUAAAGAUGCAGAAAAAUGAAGACUUGGGUCACUAUAAAGGAGACAGGUGAGGGAUAGUGGUAGGGAUCAUUUUCCUCAAGAACCCCAGAAAAGCAUGGCAUUCACAGGUACCAAAUAUGGUUGAAGUAUACAAAAGGGGCAAGACAUGGGAUUAAAAAAAUAAAAGAAAGUUAUUCACUCAAAGUCUAUACACAGAAUGCCAGAGACCAGAUUUCCAGCCCCCAUUCAAGUGAUAAUUUUUUUUUUCUGACAGAACUUAGUGUUCCCAAUAAAAAAAAAAAAAUACUGCUUGCAUACUACCAUGUGAAUCACCCAAUUAAAUGUCCUACUCACAACCCAAACAAUCACCCUAAUGUAAAUCCCAUCCAAAGCCCCACCAAAGCAUAUAGAGUGGCCAAUACGUUUUAGUGCCUCACUCUUACUAUGAAAUAUGCUCCCAACAUACAGGAAAGAUGAAAAUGAGCAGGAAAAAAAAAAAAAAAAACACUCCAGAAAACAUCAAGCAAAACUUCAUGAGAAAUGCUAAUUGGUUAGCAACAGUGAAAAAAAAUAUUGUAUUUGCAAAACAAAACAGUAUGCUAUUUUUAAAAUAAUAGAGAAUGAUUUUUAGAAAUUAAAAAUAUGAGCAUCAAAAUAAAAAUUCCAAAACAGAUUGAGAAGAUAAUAUCAAGGAGAUAUCUGAGACAAUAGAAGAAGGAUAAAAGGAAAAAUAGAGAAAUAAUAAAAGGUCUGAAAAUUAAUAUGGGAAAUAGGCAUUUCAGAUGGACAAAAAAGGGAAAAGGGAAGAAAUUAUUUUAAAAAUCACAUGAGAAAUAUUGCCAAUGGUAAAAUACAUGCAUUUCUGAAUUGGAAAAGCCCAGGACAAUAAAGGGAUAAUUAAAAGGCGCUGCAUGCUAACUAACUUGGAUAUAAAUUAAAUAAAUUAUUUAAAAAAUAAAAAUUAAAAAUUAAAAAAAUGUUUUAAAGGUCACACUAAUGCAUAUCAUCAUGAAGUUUAAGAACCCAGGAAUAUAUAGAUUUAUGGAAUGGUGGAGUGAGGAUGCCCAUGAAACUGCACUCCUACAAAAACAAUGAAAAUACUGGCAAAGCAAUUAAAACCAGUAAUUUCAGAACUCUUGAAAUUAGCCCAACCCACUGAACAAACUAAAAAGUGCUUGUCCAAGAGAAAUGACUGACAUACCUAAGACAGACAGUAGACUGUAUGGCAUUUAAACUUCAGGCUAUUCCAGCCAUCCUACUCUCCCUUAUCAGCGCAGUGGCACUGUAGCCAUGAAAGAGCAGCAGCCUCAUGGCUGAAAGACGGCUAGCCCUUUUGGAAUUCUAUUAAAAGCCUCAUGCUUAGAACAUCUCAAUUAUUUCGUCCAAACUGGUAGCUCCCUAGAAAAUCUCUCAUUUUCAUGUUUGUAUAGCUAUUUGAUUUGAUUCAGAGCUCACCUUACAAAAAAAUAAAAUAAAAAAGCCUCACCCCUAGGCGACUGGUAUAAACAAUAGCAAUCUUUCAGUUAGUUUGCAGAUGCCUAAAGGUGUGAUUUGAGUUAGGGAAUGUUAGAUCCUAGACAAAAUUUUAAAAAGGAGUCCUGGAGAACUGCAGGACCAGAAGGCACUUCGAAAGGCUCCAACAUAUUCCCAGGGAUCUAAAAGCACCCUCUCACAUGUAUAGGGUGCUAUGUGCAUGCCACAAAAACAUGGGAAAGUACAAACCUCAU